UGGGGAAUUUUGCGCAAUGGGCGAAAGCCUGACGCAGCAACGCCGCGUGAGUGAUGAAGGCUUUCGGGUCGUAAAGCUCUGUCAGGGGGAAAGAAGUGUAAAAUGGCUAAUACCCAUUUUACUUGACGGUACCCCCAAAGGAAGCACCGGCUAACUCCGUGCCAGCAGCCGCGGUAAUACGGAGGGUGCGAGCGUUGUUCGGAUUUAUUGGGCGUAAAGCGCGUGUAGGUGGUUUAUUAAGUCUGAUGUGAAAGUCCCGGGCUCAACCUUGGAAGUGCAUUGGAAACUGGUAGACUUGAAUACGGGAGAGGGCAGUGGAAUUCCUGGUGUAGGAGUGAAAUCCGUAGAUAUCAGGAGGAACACCGGUGGCGAAGGCGGCUGCCUGGACCGAUAUUGACGCUGAGACGCGAAAGCGUGGGUAGCAAACAGG
rnacentral:rRNA from 1 species